rnacentral:rRNA from 1 species
AUACGGAGGGUGCAAGCGUUAUUCGGAAUCACUGGGCGUAAAGGACGCGUAGGCGGGUUGGCAAGUCAGAUUUGAAAUCCUACAGCUUAACUGUAGAACUGCAUUUGAAACUGCUGACCUAGAGUAUGGGAGGGGGAGAUGGAAUUAGUGGUGUAGGGGUAAAAUCCGUAGAUAUCACUAGGAAUACCGAAAGCGAAGGCGAUCUCCUGGAACAUAACUGACGCUAAGGCGUGAAAGCGUGGGGAGCAAACAGGAUUAGAAACCCUAGUAGUCC